rnacentral:rRNA from 1 species
UACAGAGGCCUCGAGCGUUAGGCGGAAUCACUGGGCUUAAAGGGUGCGUAGGCGGGCAGGUAAGUCCGUGGUGAAAUCUCUGAGCUUAACUCAGAAACUGCCAUGGAUACUAUUUGUCUUGAAUAUUGUGGAGGUAAGCGGAAUAUGUCAUGUAGCGGUGAAAUGCUUAGAUAUGACAUAGAACACCAAUUGCGAAGGCAGCUUACUACACAGUUAUUGACGCUGAGGCACGAAAGCGUGGGGAUCAAACAGG